GAAAACUACGAGCAAAAGCUUAAAACUCAAAGGAUUUGGCGGCGCUUUAAAUUCCCUAGAGGAGCUUGUCCUGUAAUCGAUAAUCCCCGCUAAACCUUACCUUCUCUUGCCUUCAGCCUAUAUACCGCCGUCGUCAGCCCACCCUUUGAGGGCCUAAUAGUAGGCGAGAUAGGCCCAGCCCCAAACGUCAGGUCAAGGUAUAGCACACGAGAAGAGAAGAGAUGAGCUACACUUCCUAAGCAGGGCUACGGAAAAUCUUUUGAAACACAGAUUUAAAGUAGAAUUUAGCAGUAAGUAAAAAAUAGAGUGUUUU
rnacentral:rRNA from 1 species